GUGCUUUGCUUCAGCAGCACAUAUACUGCCAAAUUGGAACAAUACAGAGAAGAUUAGCGAGGCCCCUGUACAAGCAUGAUGUGAAAAUUUGUGAAAUGUUCCUUUACAAAAAAAUUUU
rfam:Chlorocebus sabaeus isolate 1994-021 chromosome 19, whole genome shotgun sequence.